GGAGGCUACAGUCAUGCUUGGAUAUUGGUUAUUGUCUUAGUGUGCUAGAGUCCUCAAAGAAUAACCGUUGACUUUAUUCACUGGCUGUGACCCUCAUAGCACAGUCAGUCACCAGGUUACUGACAUGC
rnacentral:snoRNA from 1 species